rnacentral:rRNA from 1 species
CUAGUCGUGCGAGUUCAGACUCGCGGCACCGAGCUCAGUAACACGUGGCCAAACUACCCUACAGAGACGGAUACCCUCGGGAAACUGAGGUUAACCCGUCAUAUCGAUCUCAGGCUUGAAUCGCAGAGAUCACAAAACGCCCCGGCGCUGUAGGAUGUGGCUGCGGUUGAUUAGGUAGACGGUGGGGUAACGGCCCACCGUGCCCAUAAUCAGUACAGGUUGUGAGAGCAAGAACCUGGAGACGGAAUCUGAGACAAGAUUCCGGGCCCUACGGGGCGCAGCAGGCGCGAAACCUUUACACUGCACGCACGUGCGAUAAGGGGACUCCGAGUGCGAGGGCAUAUCGUCCUCGCUUUCGUGUACCGUAGGGUGGUACACCAACAAGGGCUGGGCAAGACCGGUGCCAGCCGCCGCGGUAAUACCGGCAGCCCGAGUGAUGGCCGAUCUUAUUGGGCCUAAAGCGUCCGUAGCU